rnacentral:tRNA from 1 species
UCUAAAAUGGCAGAAUAGUGCACUGGAUUUAAACCCCAGAAAUAAAGAUUAAACUUUUUUUAGAA